rnacentral:rRNA from 1 species
GAUGAACGCUGACGGAAUGCUUAACACAUGCAAGUCAACCUGCGGCGGACGGGUGAGUAACGCGUAAAGAGCUAGCUUCCCAGCUAGGGACAAUAAUUAGAAGAGAAGGCUGAUAACAGCGACUGUGGGAGAGCUUUGCGUGCCAUUAGCUAGUAGGCGAGGUAACCGCUCACCAAGGCGAUGAUGGGUAGCCGGCCUGGGAGGGUGAACCGCCACAGGGUGACUCGGACGCCGCCCUUAGGCCUACGGGCGGCAGCAGUGGAGACUAUUGGCCACCAGACCGAAGUCUGAUCCAGCCAUUCUGUUUGCACGAUGAAUUUUUCGGAAUGUAGACGUCUUUCAGUUGAGAAGCGGUACCAACAGAAGAAGUGACGGCUAACUCCGUGCCAGCAGCCGCGGUAAUAC